CCUCCCUCGCCACUUUCUCCAGCCAAGAAGCUAGCUUUGCCUCCCCAGCUUUACUCUACAAGCAUGUCCUCAGACGUGCAGCCGUGUGAUGAAGCGAACCAACUAACUUCCAGAGAGCACCGGAUGAAGGAAACCCGCUGCACGAGUAGCAGAAAAGCCUGAGAGCAGGGGCAUCCCAAGCUGACCCCAYCCGGAGACUUCUUCCUGGGCUGAACACAAUGGAGACUGUUUGACAGUGGAAGUGGAGGUUUACUGUACAGUAGCUCAGCUGGAGUUCCUCACCCCUUCAUGACAUGCAGUGAGCCGAUGCCACCAGCAGGGAGCAGCCGAGAAGAUGUUUUGUCUGAACACGGUCAACUCCAGCCCCCGGUGUCUGAGACUCAU